rnacentral:misc_RNA from 1 species
AAUCACCGUCCCAUCUGUCUCUUAGCCAUAAGCCUGCCAAGUGCCAUGGCCAUUUCUUUCUUCUCUCCAAUCCCUCCCAAGCUUCCCUUCUCCCUCUAAACCCUUCUCCGUCUCUCUUAUGUCUCUAAUUUCUACUUCACAGAUCGCUCUAUUCCAUGGCGAUUGUUACCGGAGAUCGAUACCUUGAGAAGCUCGUCCAUUUCGUAGAACACCAAGCGGGCCCUUUGAUCGAGGGCUCUUUAGUUCUUAAGCUUAAU